GGGUUAGUAGGUUGGUCAUGCCUCUGGUAUGUACUGGUCUCACUGAUUCCUCCUUCCUGAUGAGCCGUAAUGCCAUUAAUUUGGUGUUGCGGGGAAUUUGGACUGUUACUUUGAAAAAAUUAGAGUGUUUAAAGCAAGCUAACGCUUGAAUACAUUAGCAUGGAAUAAUGAAAUAGGACGUUCGAUCCUAUUUUGUUGGUUUCGCUUGGCUGAAGUA
rnacentral:rRNA from 1 species